UUGAAAUACUUUUUAUAUCUUAGUCCUGCAUUUAUUUCUGAAUGUAGGAAUCACUGCUAUUUUUCAUUAUUAUUAUUUGGAAAGUGAAGCCUUCAUCAUAAACAAUCUUUCUGUGCAAGUUUUUUGGCAGCCAGUGAGAUCUGUGAGUUACAUCUUUGAGAGAGAUCUUAUUUAUUAGGUACUUACAGCUGAGAGUGGGUGAGAAGAAGUGGAUGAAGCAAUGAUUUUUCUCCAUGAGACACCAUGAGGUUAUAAGAAUGUGUGCUGGUUUUUUUUGAACAGACACACAGUAUUCACCACAUUUUGGACAUCACUUAGAAACCUUUCUGUGCAGAAUUCGAAAAUAUUCGAAAAUAUCUACAGCUUUAGAAAACCCUACACUUAUUUUAUCCUAUAGGAAAAAAAAUUCAUAUUUAACCUUUUCAUAUUUUAAAUCACAUUCUAAACAGACUAAUCAUUUUCAGGUUGUAAGUUUGUGAUAAUGGGAUAGAAGAAAAUCAUAGGAAAUGAUAAACACAUCUGAGAACUCUAAUGAGAUCCUUUAAGAAGGACUGUAAUAUGUUUUCGUAUUUUCAUGCCUCACUUGCCUAGGUAGCAAGGGAAAACUCCUGACUCUCUGCAGCUUCCCACAUCAUAGUGGAGUGGAGUGUGGGCUUGUAACACGAUCAUGGCUUAGUUUUUUGUUUUUUUUUUUAAAAAAAAAAAAAAAAAACAACUAAGAGAAACCAACUAAGAGAAACAAAACACGGAAGAAAGACCAGAAAAUUGCCAGUACCAAUUCAUUUUCACCCCACAAAGGAUGAACAUUUCCUUCACUAAUUGCAGCUGUGUUCAAUGUCAUCAGUAUCACUCUGCUGUAAAAAUGUCAGUGUUUCCAAGCAAUUGUGGAAUACAGGAUGUCUUGUCUAAUUUCUCUCAUGCUAAGUUAUCCUCUGACUACAUGAGUUUAUACAGCCUUUCAUAUGAUGUUCAGCCAAUGCUGCUUUGCCAUUGAUUCAGACAGCACUUUGCCUGAUUGAUAACUUCUUUCUCUUUUGUUUGGUUGUGCUCUAUUAAAUAAUAUUGAAAGGUUAGCAUUUAUCUUUAACCUCUAAUAAUUUUCAGUUGAAUGAGAACUAACUUCUUUUAGCCAAGUUUGGCUAGAAAAAUUAGAAUUAUCCUACUAUCAACCGUAAUUUUAGUUCUUUCUUCAGAACAAUGCAGAAAAAAGGUUUUAAAACUGAUUUGCCCAUUAAGAUAAAAAAAGGAAUACCAUUAAUUACUACUGAGGUGACAGUGCUGGGUGCUUGUGUCAUCUCUCUGAAGUCAGUGCGACUAAACAGGACUAUAAAUACUCCCCACAAAACUAGGAUCUCAAGAAGUGCACUUGCGAAUCCAGCUGAAUUGCACUGCAGCCGAGGCUAAUCAUUCUGCGGUAUCAGGCUUUUAACCUUUAGUGUGCACAGGUCCUUUUUAGCAAUGACAAUAAUUAUGACAGUUCUGAAGAAAACAGCCACACAACAACCAAAACAGAUAUAAAAGUACUCAUUCUGAGGCUCAAUGAAUCAACAAAUAAAGAAAAGGUCACUUUUCAGUUCUCAAUUACAAAUGAUAAUUUUCUCCCUCUUAAAAUAUGUUUAAAUACUUGCAUAAAGAAAAUUAUGACUGAAUGUGCCUAGCUCUGUUUAAACUGUCUUGGCUGCUGUUUUCAUUUGAAGUGACACCUCUGGUUUUGAACUUGUACUGUUUAAAAACUGUGAGAGCCAAGAAAUUGAAUUAAGCUGUGCCUCUGGGAUUUCAGAUAAGUCCAGAAUGUUUUUUCAAAUAACAUAUUAGUUCCACAGCUCUAUUUUAAAAUUAAAUGAUGGAUAACUUGUUUUUAUGCUCUAACAUAUGGCCCUCAAUCUUCCAAGAUGUCUGUGCAUACUUCAUGUUGUGCAAGAGUCACCCUACUGAACUUAAUAGGACUAUUCAGACAGUUGACAUUAAGCAUGUAUGCAAAUCUUUGCAAGACUGGAACCUAACGUGAUUAUAAUAAGCCCAUUUCAGUGCAAAUCUAAGUAUAAAGAGCUUCAAAACUGAGGUCAAAAUAAAAGAACUUGCACAAGUCUGUCAUACUAAAAGAGUACCAAAAUGCUGGGGGAAAAAAAUGCACACUAAAACCUUCUGAUAAAUUUCAAACUAUGUUCUCACAUAAAGAGGGAAAAAUUAGGCAGUCAAACUGCUCGUUGCAGUAACUGAAAUUUUACUUACUGUGAAACUGUCUCCUCAACAGUCAACUCAUUUACUGCAAUGUCUAUUUUAUAGAUUUUUGUUGUUGUGCUUUAUGGAUAGGAUUGUGCUUUUGCACAGAUGUACUUUGGGGGUGAGCUGGGAUUUUAUGUCAAAUGAUAUGCUUUAUUUAUUUCUGAUCUCAUGCAGAAAAUAAAAUAUAUUUAAUAUCCUU
ensembl:lncRNA